rnacentral:misc_RNA from 1 species
GAUGAAGAACGUAGCGAAAUGCGAUAAGUAAUGUGAAUUGCAGAAUUCAGUGAAUCAUCGAAUCUUUGAACGCACCUUGCGCUCCUUGGUAUUCCGAGGAGCAUGCCUGUUUGAGUGUCAUUAAUAUAUCAACCUUCUCUUUUUUGAGUUGUUUGGAUGUGGGGGUUUGCUGGCCUCUUAAAUGAUUCAGCUCCCCUGAAAUGCAUUAGGAGAACAACCUGUUCAUUAGCGUGAUAAUUAUCUAUGCUAUUGAAUGUGAGGGCAGUUCAGCUUUCUAACCGUCCUUGGACAAUUCAUCAUUAAUGUGACCUCAAAUCAGGUAGGACUACCCGCUGAACUUAAGCAUAUCAAUAAGCGGAGGA